AAGUGCUCAGUGUUGCCAGAUUGUAAAUGGUGAAGUAUCGUACCAAAGGCUCAAAAUGGUCGUAUUUGGAGGAUAAUUAUCGUGUAUCUGGCAACAUUGAGAUCGGUCGACCAAUGACUGUUCUCUCUACAGUCAGAGCUCGCGAAAGAAGGUGGAACGUAAGGGAGACACCAUUUCCAAAACAGGUAAGGCCGUAACAACUAGUUUGUGAAAGACCCAGAGAAACACAAAUAUACGACGAAGCAAAAUCCCGGACGUUUAUGGAAUCUCUGCCGGACGCAUUUUUUAGGUCUCAAAAAGAGGACAUGUCCGGAGAAAAGAGGACGUUUUGUCACCCUAAUGAAACAGUCUGAUAACUCUGUCCUCGCAGCAGCUAACGAUGGCUCACCGCUUGUGUAGCUACAGCAGCUAGCUAGCCAUCUGCCUUCUAUUCGUAUUUAUUUUUCUACACAAUAGAAAAGCGAUGUGCUCUCGUGCCUCAUGCAGCUCUUCUGUGUUGCACGUCAAUACUUUGAGACAAACAAGGAGCGUCAAUCUAACGUAAAUGCUUUUCAAUAAAUGUCUUUAGUUCCUGCACAAUGAACAUGAAUCUCAAAUUAAAUGAUUAAUAUUCCCCAAAUUCAAAUUAACUACACUUCCGCUGUUACAGAGGGGAAACACUGUAAUCAUACUGUAAACUUUCAAAAGUUCAUAUAUUGUGCAUAGUUUGAAGUGAAAAAAACCCUUUCUUCAAUUGUGUUUGGGUUCAGGCUCUGUUUAGGAUCGGUAUUGGAAAAACCCAAACGAUACUCAUCCCUACUCUCACGUGACAUGUCUGCGCGCUCAACGUGAAGCUAAAGCCAGCCGCUGGUUAGCUUAGCAUGAAGACUGGAGACAAGAGGGCUCGAAAGGGAUGUUUAAAAAUCCGGAUUCAACAGUUUACAAAUUUCCGACUUGAUGAAACAAUAGACAAAAAAAAAAAGUGUUUGCUUUCAAGAUCAAGAUGGGGUCAUAGAAAAAAACAAGUAGAGCAAAGUGUUUUAUGCACCAUGUGAAGUGGAUGAGCUCCAUCAAUACAAUACACUGUCCACACACACACAUUUACUCUAAAGGCUCAGUUGCAUAUUGUAGAUACCUUCACUGUAACCAUAGAGACGUUACAUCAUGAUGGAACAUUUCUCCACGUUCCAUGUUCCAUGUUCAUGUUCUAUGCUCCGUUCACCACAGCAUAAGAACACAGUCUGUUGCACAUCCAGUCAGUCAGUUUCAAACCUCGCAUCUACACACUGAAGUUUUCCGGACCUACACUUGCAGAAAGCAACCAUGUAAUGCCUCAGGAGUCUGUGGAGGGGACGAAGACGCGUUCUGCUGCACUUAACAGAGCUCAAGACCAACGGGACGCCAUCAGACGCCACGUCAACCCCUCAGGAGCAAAUCCAGAUCUACGCAUGACAUACACUUAGAUACACUUUAUUAGAUGUACACAAAGACAUAACAAUUAGAUGUACACACAGACACUAACAAUUAGAUCCACACACAGACACACUAACAAUUAGAUGUACACACAGACACACUAACAUUUGGUUCUAAACAAAGACACACACUAACAUUUAGAUGUACACAAAGACACAUUAAUAUUUAGAUGUACACACAGACACACUAACAAUUAGAUCUACACACAGACACACUAACAAUUAGAUGUACACACGGACACACUAACAAUUAGAUCUACACACAGACACACUAACAAUUAGAUGUACACACUGACACGUGCUGAUGACCAUCCUCACGUCUCUUCUCCUUGUCUGCAGACCAACAGGACGCCAUCAGGACGCCACGUCAUCAGGACACCAUCAGGACGCCACGUCAUCGGGACGCCAUCAGGAUUCCAUCAGGACGCCAUCAGGACGCCGCGUCAACCCCUCAGGAGCAAAUCCAGAUCUACUCAUGACACACACACACACACACACACACACACACACACACAGAUGUACUCAGAGACACACUAACAUUUAGACACGCUGGCAAAUUUAGAUGUACAAUUAGAUGUACACACAGACACACUAUCAUUUGGUUCUAAACAAAGACACACACUAAUAUUUAGAUGUACACAAAGACACAAUAACAAUUAGAUGUACACACAGACACACUAUCAUUUGGUUCUAAACAAUGACACACACUAAUAUUUAGAUGUACACAAAGACAUAUUAAUAUUUAGAUGUACACACAGACACACUACCAUUUGGUUCUAAACAAAGACACUAAUAUUUAAAUGUGCACAAAGACAUAUUAAUAUUUAGAUGUACACACAGACACACUAACAUUUAGAUGUACACACAGACACACUAACAUUUAGAUGUACACACAGACACACUAACAAUUAGAUGUACACACAGACACACUCAUUUGGUUCUAAACAAAGACACACACUAAUAUUUAGAUGUACACAAAGACACAUUAAUAUUUAGAUGUACACACAGACACACUAACAAUUAGAUGUACACACAGACACACUAACAUUUGGUUCUAAACAAAGACACACACUAAUAUUUAGAUGUACACAAAGACAAUAACAAUUAGAUGUACGCACAGACACACUAACAAUUAGAUCCACACACAGACACACUAACAAUUAGAUGUACACACAGACACACUAACAUUUGGUUCUAAACAAAGACACACACUAAUAUUUAGAUCUACACACAGACACACUAACAAUUAGAUGUACACACAGACACAUCCUGAUGAUCCUCCUCACGUCUCUUCUCCUUGUCUGCAGACCAACAGGACGCCAUCAGGACGCCACGUCAUCGGGACGCCAUCAGGACACCACGUCAUCGGGAUGCCAUCAGGACACCACGUCAUCGGGACGUCAUCGGGACGCCAUCAGGACGCCUAACAAUUAGAUGUACACACAGACACACUAUCAUUUGGUUCUAAACAAUGACACACACUAAUAUUUAGAUGUACACAAAGACACAAUAACAAUUAGAUGUACACACAGACACACUAUCAUUUGGUUCUAAACAAUGACACACUAAUAUUUAGAUGUACACAAAGACACAAUAACAAUUAGAUAUACACACAGACACACUAUCAUUUGGUUCUAAACAAAGACACACACUAAUAUUUAGAUGUACACAAAGACACAAUAACAAUUAGAUGUACACACGGACACAUCCUGAUGAUCCUCCUCACGUCUCUUCUCCUUGUCUGCAGACCAACAGGACGCCAUCAGGACGCCACGUCAUCGGGACACACUAACAUUUAGAUGUACACACAGACACACUAACAUUUGGUACUAAACAAAGACACACACUAAUAUUUAGAUGUACACAAAGACAUAAUAAUAUUUAGAUGUACACACAGACACACUAACAUUUAGAUGUACACACAGACACACUAACAAUUAGAUGUACACACAGACACACUAACAACAUUAACAUGUUAAUAACUUUUCUUCUUUUCUCUCUUCUCAGGAACUGCUUCAGAUGUUUUCCCAAUGAUUGUGUUAUUAUUAUUGUUAAAUAUGUCGUCUGUUUAUUAUUUUAAUGAAAAUAAAUUUUAAUAGAAAUAAAACCAAA
ensembl:lncRNA